UUGGCAGAAGGGAUGACUCUG
rnacentral:miRNA from 1 species